UGGAUCAGUGAUGACUACUGGUUGCGUGACAUUAUGAGUGAAAUAUGAUGAAUACAUAUAUGGAACUCUCAGGUCCAU
ensembl:snoRNA